rnacentral:rRNA from 1 species
UACGUAGGGCGCAAGCGUUGUCCGGAAUUAUUGGGCGUAAAGAGCUCGUAGGCGGUCUGUCGCGUCCGUUGUGAAAACUCGAGGCUCAACCUCGGGCUUGCAGUGGAUACGGGCAGACUAGAGUGCGGUAGGGGAGACUGGAAUUCCUGGUGUAGCGGUGGAAUGCGCAGAUAUCAGGAGGAACACCGAUGGCGAAGGCAGGUCUAUGGGCCGCAACUGACGCUGAGGAGCGAAAGCAUGGGGAGCGAACAGG